rnacentral:rRNA from 1 species
GAACGCUGGCGGCGUGCUUAACACAUGCAAGUCGAACGGUGAAGCAGAGCUUGCUCUGUGGAUCAGUGGCGAACGGGUGAGUAACACGUGAGCAACCUGCCCCUGACUCUGGGAUAAGCGCUGGAAACGGCGUCUAAUACUGGAUAUGAGCUGCGACCGCAUGGUCAGCAGUUGGAAAGAUUUUUCGGUCUGGGAUGGGCUCACGGCCUAUCAGCUUGUUGGUGAGGUAAUGGCUCACCAAGGCGUCGACGGGUAGCCGGCCUGAGAGGGUGACCGGCCACACUGGGACUGAGACACGGCCCAGACUCCUACGGGAGGCAGCAGUGGGGAAUAUUGCACAAUGGGCGAAAGCCUGAUGCAGCAACGCCGCGUGAGGGAUGACGGCUUUCGGGUUGUAAACCUCUUUUAGCAGGGAAGAAGCGAAAGUGACGGUACCUGCAGAAAAAGCGCCGGCUAACUACGUGCCAGCAGCCGCGGUAAUACGUAGGGCGCAAGCGUUAUCCGGAAUUAUUGGGCGUAAAGAGCUCGUAGGCGGUUUGUCGCGUCUGCUGUGAAAUCCCGAGGCUCAACCUCGGGUCUGCAGUGGGUACGGGCAGACUAGAGUGCGGUAGGGGAGAUUGGAAUUCCUGGUGUAGCGGUGGAAUGCGCAGAUAUCAGGAGGAACACCGAUGGCGAAGGCAGAUCUCUGGGCCGUUACUGACGCUGAGGAGCGAAAGGGUGGGGAGCAAACAGGCUUAGAUACCCUGGUAGUCCACCCCGUAAACGUUGGGAACUAGUUGUGGGGUCCAUUCCACGGAUUCCGUGACGCAGCUAACGCAUUAAGUUCCCCGCCUGGGGAGUACGGCCGCAAGGCUAAAACUCAAAGGAAUUGACGGGGACCCGCACAAGCGGCGGAGCAUGCGGAUUAAUUCGAUGCAACGCGAAGAACCUUACCAAGGCUUGACAUAUACGAGAACGGGCCAGAAAUGGUCAACUCUUUGGACACUCGUAAACAGGUGGUGCAUGGUUGUCGUCAGCUCGUGUCGUGAGAUGUUGGGUUAAGUCCCGCAACGAGCGCAACCCUCGUUCUAUGUUGCCAGCACGUAAUGGUGGGAACUCAUGGGAUACUGCCGGGGUCAACUCGGAGGAAGGUGGGGAUGACGUCAAAUCAUCAUGCCCCUUAUGUCUUGGGCUUCACGCAUGCUACAAUGGCCGGUACAAAGGGCUGCAAUACCGUGAGGUGGAGCGAAUCCCAAAAAGCCGGUCCCAGUUCGGAUUGAGGUCUGCAACUCGACCUCAUGAAGUCGGAGUCGCUAGUAAUCGCAGAUCAGCAACGCUGCGGUGAAUACGUUCCCGGGUCUUGUACACACCGCCCGUCAAGUCAUGAAAGUCGGUAACACCUGAAGCCGGUGGCCCAACCCUUGUGGAGGGAGCCGUCGAAGGUGG